AUUGAACGCUGGCGGCAGGCCUAACACAUGCAAGUCGAACGAGUGGCGGACGGGUGAGUAAUGUCUGGGACACUGCCUGAUGGAGGGGGAUAACCACUGGAAACGGUAUCUAAUACCGCAUACCAUCGGAUGUGCCCAGAUGGGAUAAGCUAGUAGGUGGGGUAAUGGCUCACUUAGGUGACUAUCCCUAGCUGGUCUGAGAGGAUGACCAGCCAAAAGGGAAAUGAGACACGGUCCAGACGCCUACGGGAGGCAGCAGUGGGGAAUAUUGCACAAUGGGCGCAAGCCUGAUGCAGCCAUGCCGCGUGUAUGAAGAAGGCCUUCGGGUUGUAAAGUACAUUCAGCGGGGAGGCGUUACCAGCAGAAGAAGCACCGGCUAACUCCGUGCCAGCAGCCGCGGUAAUAC
rnacentral:rRNA from 1 species